UACGUAGGGUGCGAGCGUUAUUCGGAAUUACUGGGCGUAAAGCGUGCGCAGGCGGUUUUGUAAGCCAGAUGUGAAAUCCCCGGGCUUAACCUGGGAAUGGCAUUUGGGACUGCAAGGCUUGAGUUUGGCAGAGGAGACUGGAAUUCCUGGUGUAGCAGUGAAAUGCGUAGAUAUCAGGAGGAAUACCGAUGGCGAAGGCAGGUCUCUGGGCUGAAACUGACGCUCAUGCACGAAAGCGUGGGGAGCAAACAGG
rnacentral:rRNA from 1 species